AAAGUAGCAGUUGAUGGAACAAGUUUACAUCCGUAUUUUUAUCUAAUUUGGUAUUUCAAGGGAAGCCAUUACAUCUGUUUUGGAAAGAAAUAGAACAUAAAUUAAUGUAUAUUUAAAACAAUGGUGCCAGGUUCUACAAAGGAUAUUAAACAUACUGUCUUCAAGCUUUCUUACUAAGAGAGGUAUUUCCUGAAGUGUCUGGUCACUAGCUUGUGCUUUGUAUUUGGGUCUUAAGAAGGUUAUUAACUAUCCACUUAGUUUAUUCUAAAUAUUUAGCUAACAUGUAUUGAAUUCUUACUAAUAUACUUAUUUGAUAAUUUAAUAAUUAUUAAUUAUAAAUAAUUUAAUCCUCCCAAUAACUUUUCUUCUGGUUUUUUUUUUUUUUUUUUUUGAGGAGGAAACUAACAGGAAUGUGGUAUGAAAGGUUGCUUUAUAAUUUUAUCCCCUAUGCAGAGGAGUCAAAGUAAUAGAUCUGUAAAAUUGAAAUGUUUGAUUAGCUAAUUGAAGACGCGAUAGUUUUUUUUUACUGUGAGAGGUGUGGUUUCUUCCAUGGACUAUGUGAUGUUAAUCUAAAACUCUCUACAUCAGUAACAAGCACUGUACCAUAUGUUGAAGUCAAAAACAAAAUUCAGUUAUUCAAAGUUUAGAAAUCAGUCCAGGAUUUUAUUAUCUGGAGUAAAAGUUCAAGAGAGUGAAACUGAAUUCAGGUAUGUUACUUCUCUUUUGGCUUUGCUUUCCCUCUAUAAUGGCUUUAUUCUUAGUUGUACUCUAAGUGUACUAAAAAUGUCCCGUCACCACCUCCAGUCUCCUGUACCCAUAUACUUAGCAGUGUCAGAAGGAGAGAGAGCAGUUUUCCACUGAGUUGAUCAUUUCCUCAAAAGGACUGAAUAGCUAUGCUAGUUUUCAUGGAGCCAGCUCUGAUCUAAUAUGUAUGUGUUCUAAUGUGUGUUCAGGGAAGUGGGGUUCUUAGACCAGCCAGUGUGGAAGACAAAAGAGGCAGGUGAUAUAAUACAGUCCGCUCCAGGGGAAUUACAUUAGGAAGGACAGUUUCCAAAUGACAACAGAUGUCUGAUCAAAUUUUAAUGUAGAAUCUCAUUUAGAACUAAUAUCUGAAUGUCUGACUUUUCACUCACAGAAUAUUUUGUCGUAGGCAUAGCUUCCUUCUGGAUAUCUCUUUUCAUUCUGCUGUAGAAAGCAAUGAACACACUUCUGAAGGACAUAGAUUCUGCCCUGUCAUACUAUUAAAAUUCUCUCAAGGGAUGUUGGAUGUAUGGAAUAAGAAGAAGGAAAUGAGAAUUAUUGCCAGCAUUUCACUGACUAGAGUUUCCUGACCUCAAGGUAAGGGUGAUUGACACAUUAGUCAUUUUAUCCUGAUUUUUAAUAUUACUUGAUUUGGGUAGAAAAAAUGCCUAAUGCAAUUUGAUACACUUACUAAGAAUGAGGCGUGUGACGUUAUUGAGCCAAACCCUUUUUUUGUGGGGUGGGAAGGCAAACCUUUAGACCUCAAGUUCAUUUUAGUAGGUAUAGGAAUUGUAUAGCUUAAUUCACAGUCAUCCAAGUCAUCUAAUUUUUUGGCCUCUUCCUUGUUUCUAAAUCUCACACAUCUGUGUUUCCCUUUCAGUUUCUUAUUUCUGUGUGUGUCUGUGGCAUCUGAAGGAAUGUUCAAUCCUACUAAUGAUAUUCAGGGUAUAACAGAGUCCUAUCUAAAAAAUGGCCAAGACCGAUGUCAAGCAGCUCACCAGCCAUGUUUUCUUCUAGGAGUUCUGUGAUUUCAGGUCUUAAGUUCUGGUCUUCAAUAAAUUUUGUGUUAACUUGUGUGUGACAUAAAAUAGUGAUCUAUUUUCAUGCUUUUGUAUGUGGCUGUCCAGUUUUCCCAACACCAUUUAUUGAAGAGACUGUUCUUUCCUCAUUGUAUAUCCUUGGCUGCUUUGUUGUAAAUUAAUUGACCAUAUAUGCAUGGGUUUAAAUUUGGAUUCCAGAUUCUGUUCCAUUGUUUUUGAUUUUGUUUUUGAAGUAGGUUCCAUGCCCAGCAUGGAGCCCAGCGUGGGACUUCAACUCAUGAUCCUGAGACCAAGAUCUAAACUGAAAUCAAGAGUCUGACGCUUAUCUGACUGAGCCACCUAGGCGCCCCACCAGUACCUUACAGUUUUAAUUGCUUUGUAAUUAAAAAGCUACAAAGCUACUUUAUAGCUUUGUAAUACAGUUUGAAAUCAGGGAGUGUGAUACCUCCAGUUUUGUUCCUUUUUCUCAAGGUUGCUUUUACUAUUCAGAGUAUUGUUCCCAUACACAUUUUAUGAUUGUUCUUCUAUUUCUGUGGUAAAUGCCAUUGUAGUUUUGAUAAGAAUUGCAUUGAGUCUAUAUGUUAUUUUGGGUAGUAUGGACAUUUUAACAAUACUAAUUAUUCCCCCCUGGCGAGUACAAAAUAUCUUUCCAUUUAUUUGUGUCUUCAGUUUCUUUCAGCAGUGUCAUAUAGUGUUCAGUAUACAGGUCUUUCAUUUCCUUGGUUAAUUUUUUUGCUAGGUGUUUUAUUUUUUUUGAUGCAGUUGUAAAUGUGUUUUCUUAAUUUCUCUGAUAGUUCAUUAUUAGUGUAUAGAAAUGCAACGAAUUUUUUAUAUUUGAUUUUGUAACCUAGUAACUUCACUGAAUUUAUUAGUUUUAACAGUGUCCUGAGAGUAUCUCUGUUGGCCUCUGGAAGUGUGCCAGACUGGAAGGCUGGCAUUUAGGCCAUAGCUCUUGAAAAUAGGCCUCUUUCUCAGAAAGACUGAGCAUAUGCUUCUGUCUUCUAUCUGUGCAGUGCCCUAGGGAUGGUAAUCUGCCAAGAGAUGCCUUCCCAGUUGUUAUGGUCCUACAGGCCUCACAGGGCCAAGUGAUCAAGGUCUUCCUCUGAGUUGCAGCUGUAGGAUCAGGGACACCAGAUGUAAAAACUGGUGAUCAGGGGAUCAUAAAAGCUGCUCUCGGGGGGAUUCUGGCGCUCUGGAGACUGGUAGAUGGAGAGGAUGAAGAUGUGAGAGGAGAGGGAUGAAAAAGUGUCCAGAGUGGCUCCCAGCAGCCUCUAUCCCUGGAGAGUAUCCCAGAGAGCUCCUGCCCUUCUGUCCAGUGCUUUUAAGGUUAGCAAAUGAGUUUUUUUCACAUGGGUUUGGAAGCUGCUCAGAUGGCUGCUUCUGCACUGAGCCCUGUGGUGAGUGAGUCUGCAUGCGAACGCUUUAAGACCUGUUUCUCAGUUCAUCACAGUCCUUUGGGUCUUGGACAUGAGACCCAUUAGAUUUCAAACCACACAUUUUGGGGCUCUUAAAAGUUGGGGUGUCCAAUUUGCGGGUCUAAGCCUUUGCUUUUCAGGAAGAUGUUUCAGGGUUUUGAGUUCCCUCCUAAAUUGUGGGUCCCUACACUGGGGAUGGGGUUUAUGGUGGGAUUGGGUCUCAAGCUCUCCUGAGUGGCCUCUGUUUCAUUGGCCCAGUGUAAAGGAGUUGCUCAGCUAGUUUUUCAGGUCUUUCUCAGAGGAAAUUCUUACAUAUGUAACUGUAAAUUUCAUGUUUAUGGGAAGGGGCAAGUUCAGGAUCUUUUCUACAUUACUAUCUUGAACUGCCUCCUCCAAAACCCCUAGUGUCUAAGAGCUUCAUUAAAAAGGGUAAACAAAUCUGAACUAGUACAAAUUUUGAAAGUACAUUCAAUACAGCAGGUCAGUAAAUGUAUAUUAAAUUCAACAAAAAUGUAUGAAACAUUUUCAGUGGGAUACUCUGAGAGAUAUAAAAGACAAUCUCUACCUUCAAGGAGGUUAAAUCUUACAUAGAGAUAAAAUACAUAUUCAGAGAGAAUGUGAGUUUAAACUCAUGAUGAAGAGGAUUGUUUGGGGGAAGUAGAUUUAGAAAUAGUAUAGAUGUAUGGGUGGGUGUUGGAAAUAGGAGAAGACUAUAGUUGAAAAUAUAUUCAAAGCUAUGUUGGAGCUAGAUUGCUAGGAAUUAUUGACUAGUUUUUUUCUUUUGUUUUAAUGUAAAGUAAUACUUUAGAAAAGUCUGAAAGUACUGUAAUGAUCUAUUGAAAUUACAACAAUAGUGGAUGCCCCUUAAACAAAUAUUAAGUCAGAAAGUACAAAAAUGUAAUAGCCUGGCUUUCCAAUCUAAUCUAAUUUCCAUGGAUAGUAUUAUCAGUUUGAUACUAUUAUUCCAGGUUUUUAAAAAAUAUUUAUAUAAUCAUCUAUAUGCUUUGUUUUAAGAUUAUUUUAGGAAAUAUCAUAUACUUCUGCAAAUAGAUUUUUUGCACUGCACACUGUACCGUAAACAUAUUUCUGACUUACUACAUAUUGAAUGCUUUUCUUUCUUUUAAUGGUUUUCAUAUUUUCUAUUAAUGAGUAUACCAAAAUCUCUUUAUCCAUUUACUUUUCCUUGGACAGUUAAAUGUUGCCCUUAACUGCUAUGCUGUAAUGAAUAUUCUUGAACCUAUAUUUUAACAUUUAAACUAUUUUUUGUAAGAUAGGGGUCUUGAAUGAUAUGGUUUGGUCAUUUUACAUUUGGAUAGGUAUUGUCAAGUGAUUAAAGUUGUACAAUUUAACAGUCUCUGAGACUUGCCCAUUUACCACAGUCUCUUAUUAGUACUGGAAUAUUUAGAACCCUUAAAUUGCUGUCAGUCUAACAGAAAAAACUACUUCAUUUUUAUUUUAAUUUGUGUUACCAUACUUAUUUAUAAAUUUGAGCAUCUUUUCAUAAAUCCUUUUAAUCAUUUACAUUUCUUUUCAUGUCAAUUGCCUUUUUCUAAUCUCUGCUCAUAAACAUUUGUGAGUGCUUUUUUUUUUUUAAGAUUUUAUUUAUGUAUUUGAUAACAGAGAGAGAGACCCUGAGAGAGGGAAUACAAGCAGCGGGAGUGGGAGAGGGAGAAGCAGGCUUCCUGCUGAGCAGGGAGCCAGAUGCUGGGCUUGAGCAUAUGAAUAAUACACAUAUGAAUAUUAGUGGCUUGUCUCUACUAAUGAUAGGUUAUCAGUUUGUGGUAUCUUCAUAUAAAAGCUUAAAUCUUCAAUAUAGUUAAAUAUGUAAGUAGUUUAUGGGCUCUUGAUUUUCUUCCAUUUUCACUGCCACUUUCUUAUAUAUUUUUAAAUAUUAAAGUUUUCUUUUGUUUUGUUUUUAAAUCUGUAAUAUUCGAGCUGAAAUUUUUUUGUAAGAAUUAAGUAUUAGAAGUUAGACUGAUCAGCCAGGGGAACAAGACUGAGACAAGGUGAAAGUUAUGCAAAGCUCUAUUUUAUGCUAAGCAUUAGAAGUCAGACUGACCAGCCAGAGCCAUCUCUGAAGAGGGUGACCCCUCCCCAUCUUACAGACUACCUUUUAUAGAGCAAAAGUCUGGCCACACAUAGGUGGCCAGUGACAUUGUAGUCAUGUUAGGUCACACACAGGUGGCCAAUUGAAUUACAGUUUACCCUAUAGUAGCUAUUUGACCUAACCUAUUACUCUGGUCAGAAUUGGCGCUCAAGUUUGGCGCCCGAAAGGCGGAGUUUACAUUCUUCGGUGGUUAGGGAGGCAGUAUGUGUACUUUUACUGAUUGGAUGUCUCUACCUGGCCUGACUCGUCCUUGUAUUCUGGGCUCUGUUAUUAGGAACUAGUCGACCAUAUUUUACUGGUUUCCCAGACUUGCUUCUAAGUAAGUUUCUCAGGGGGGUGAGGCAGGGUCAGUUUUACUGGACAGACAACAGAAUGGCUUUAACCAAGAUGGAGUCGCUCUGGCUAAAGAGGUCCUUACAGUUACCAUCCAGGUACCUGGUAGUUCUUGUCAUUUUUUCAUGUCUUUAUGUUUUUAAGUAAACCUUUAUAUUUUUCCUCCAGUAUGUAUUACACCUUUCUCAUUAGGAUUAUUUUUACUUAUUUUAUGUUUCUGUUGCUAUUAUGACAAAUUCUGUAAUACCUUAUGAUUAACUUUUUUUUCCCUCUUAAGACAUACACUGAUUUUUAUUUAUUUAAAUAUGUAUUUAUUUAUUGUUAGGGGUGCAGGGUCAGAGGGACAGAAUCCUUUUUUAACUAGUUUAUUUUUAUUAACAUAUAUACUAUUUGCUUCAAGGGUAUGGAUCUGUGAAUCAUCGGCCUUAAACAACUUAAGUCUUAAACAACUUAAACAUAGCACAUACCCUCCCCAUGUCCAUACCCAGCCACCUUAUCCCCCCCUGCCCCCCCCCCCCCCAAGCAAUCCUCAGUUUGUUUCCUGAGAUUAAGAGUCUUUCAUGGUUUAUCUCCCUCUCUGGUCACAUCUUGUUUCAUUUUUUCCCUCCCUUCCCCCAUGACCCCCUGCCCUGCCUUUCAUAUUCCUCAUAUCAGAGAGAGAGAUCAUAUGAUAAUUGUCUUUCUCUGACUGACUUAUUUUGCUUAUCACAAUAUCCUCUAGUUCCGUCCAUGUUGUUGCAAAUAGCAAGGUUUUGGUUUUUUGAUGGCUGCAUAGUAUUCCAUUGUAUAUAUCUACCACAUCUCCUUUAUCCAUUCAUCUGUUGAUGGACAUCUAGGUUCUUUCAGCAGACUCCCUGCUGAGUGUGGAGGCAAAGGGGAAGUUGGGCUAAAAUCUCACAACCAUGAGAUCCUGACGGGAGCCGAAAUUAUGAGUCAGGUUGCUUAAUCAACCGAGCCACUCAGGCACCCUAGAAAUAAAUUCAUUUUUGAUACUGCUCUUACAUUUAGUUAUCUUACAGAAUUUAAGUAUUCUGUGACAAUUUUUCAUUUGUUGUGUUUGAUUUUUCUCAAUAGCGUAUUACCCACAAAUGAUGACAGAUUUUCUUCCUCUGUUCCAAAUUUUAGUAUUUUUACAUAUUUUACUUUUGAAUUGGCCAGGCUAUCCAGUACAGUACUGAAUAGUAAAGAUUAACAACUAAACAUUCUUGUCUAGUUCUUGACUUUAAUGAUAAUACUUCAUUGAGGAAGGGAAAAAAAAAAAAAAAUCUUACCAAGAACUUAAGAAUUCAUACAUGUGGUUAAAUAGAUCAAAUGGUGUCUAUGGGCUUACAUGAAAAAGAAGUAUCUUCUGAUGAUCAGCCGUAUUUAACCAUUUCAGUUUUUGUUUUUGCUGAUAGUUGUCAAAUCUCUAAAUAAUAGGAUACAGCUAUUUCAAAAUUUAUACAGUGCACAUAAUGUAUAUGUAUUUAAAUUUAUCCAACCUUCAUAAUACUUUGCUUCCUUCCAAAUCAGCUUCAUUUUUAGUCUCAAUUCCUCCCCUCAGAAACUGACCACUACCUCUCUUUUUAGAGAAAGCUUCACUUGUCUCUUCAUUUUGUAAGAUGAAGAAAUUGGUUCCUCUGUCCUUUCACUUACCUUUCUACCUCCAUUAACCUCCUGCCUUCAGUUUACUACUCUAAAAUAUGCUGCAGCUUUGCAUUAUCAAGGAUGAUAGCAUUUAUAUUGUUUUGUAACUAUAGUUACAACUGUAGAUUGAUUCUUAGCAUGGUCCAUAAAUAUUUUCUCUGCUUUGUAUAUUGCAACUAUUACUUACUCCAAAGCCAAAUAAUACUGUUUACUUGUUUAUGUUACAUGUCAUGACACCCAUGCUCCUUAAUGGAUAAUAUUCCUAGGAUAAAUUUUAAUUGGAUUUCUUUUCUCCUUUCUCCACCUCUUCACCUCCUCCUCCUCGGUCCCCCUUCAACAACACUCCCGUUGCCCCCAGUUAUUUUCUUCAUCAUGUCCUCACUCUUUUUAGUUUUUCUGUCCUCUUUCUCACUCAUUUUUAACUAAGACGUCUUCUGCUGGAGCCAUGUGUCUUCCUUUUCCAACCUGACUAUACGACUUGGCACAGCAAAUCCACAGUGAGUCCCCUGUUUAGUGAUUCCAGUUUCUUUUUGUUUCUUGGUUUAGUUUUGUUUUAUUGGAGGAAAUUCUUCACAUAACUGCCUGAGAAAGUUUAAUAGUCAUUAGUGCUGUUUACCAUAUAUUUUUCCCCCUGAACACACCAUCUACCUUCCAGGCACACUAUAGGUUUGUAUAUUUUUGUUGUGUAAAGUUACUUGCUCUCUUCAGUGAAAAGCCUCUUUUCUUACGUGAAAGUCACCAAAAAUGUUCCAGAUAUAGUGGCAGCUUUGUCAACUUCGUUUCUGGGGUAAGGAUAAUUUGACCCAGAACUUUCAGUGUAACUGCAGUGGACAUGGAACAUGAGAGAGAAAUAUACCUUUAUUGUUUUAAGACUGGAAAAUUUGGGGGUUAUCAUUGCAGCAUAACCUAGUAUAUUCUAACUGGUGAAGGAAAUGUGAGUUUGUUUUAAUUCCUAAAAUACUUGAAAUUCUGUUUUCUGAAUACUUGAUUCCUAAUUUGGAGAAAUAUAAAACUCUAGAUUAAAAUACUUUUCUCUCAGAAAAAUAAAGACGUUGAUUUGUCCCUGCAUUUCUUGUUGCUUAUGAGAUGCUGGGGGAAGUACAAUUCCUGUUCCUUUGCAGGUAAUCCAAAAUUUUCCCUUCUCAGAUCUUUUAGGAUCUUCUACUUACCCUUGUUUAAAAUUUCAUUGUAAUGAAUGUAUUAUGCAUCCAGCUUGGCUCUCCCAUUGUCUGUUUUUGAAGAUCACAUACGUGUCUACUCUAGAAAACUUUAUUAUAUUGUUUUGCUGAUAAUAGCUGCUUUUUACCUUUUCAGUUCUUUUUUUCUUCAGUUUAUCUUACUACCUAGAGUAAUACUUUCAUUUGUCACAUUUUCUGUCAUCUUUGUCUUUUGUUUAUACAUUCUAAGAGAUUUCCUUGUUUUUGUUAUGUUUUUUGUUUUCCAUGUAUUUCAGGUUCAGCCACUACAUUUUUAUCUUUCAAGAAUGUCUCUCUUAGCUUAGUUUCCUCUAGAAAGCUACAGUUAAGAAAAGGACUUGCAUGUUACUAUUUUGUUUCUAGAACUAAUCCUAUGAAACAGGAGUGUGGGGAAAAAGAAAGUGACAUAAGAAAGGAGGGAAAACCAGUACCAAGGUUCAUUAUUAAUCUGGUCACUGCUGUGGAGAACUAAUUGGUUUCUAUCCUGCUGGGAUCAUCUAAAGUGGUAUGUAGAAUGCUUCUUAGAUUAAGCCACCUAAAAAAUGGUAGAGGAGCAAAUGUAUUAUGCCUCUUGUCUCCCAUUUGUCAGGGGUUUUGUAUGGUGUAUCUCUGCUGUAUCUGGAUGUUCAUGUGGACAACAUCAGUAACAUCAGAGAGACUCAGGGGCAGAAAGCAAGAUUCUGCAGGAGAGCUGCUAAGUGACUGGUUAUCUCUUUAAGGAAGCUGAUCGAUACUGCAGUGGCUGCAGGAAAACAAGGGAGGUGGCAGGUUAGAAAGUCGGGAAGAACUGGUCAGGUAGGGCAAAACUAGCAAUAAAUACAGUCCACAUUUUGCAAUGCUCUUAUCCCUUGGUGCCCUCUGUUAAGUCUGAUCAGUGAUAGACUUUUCAGUAUGGUGGCCAAGUUCACCCUUUUUAAAGGGGUGCUGUGUUAGUAAGAACAAGGUUUUCUCCUCACUGUGCAACUGGUUCUGAGGGAAUAGUAAAUAUUUAUCAUCAUCCUCCUCUGUUACAAAUUGCGUAUUUCCCUGUCUCUGGGCCAGCAGUUUGGCUGGCUGUCCUAAAUUAUUAGUCUGAUGGGAUGAUAUGAGCCCUUAUCCCCAUGUUACCCUAACCUUCUUGGACCAUAGUUGCUGCAAGUACACACUUGAGACUUAUCGUUAGGCACUGAGUUCCUCCUUGACUGAAUGUUAGUCAUUCUUCUACAUCUCCGGGGUCUUGGGAAAAAUCCUUGUUUCCUGUCAUGUAACUGUGACCCUAGUAAGAGUAAUGUCAGAGUCAGUUGUCCCCACUCGUAAUAACUAUUUUUCUGUCUCAGUGAUAGGGGGGGUCCAGAAUGAUCAAGUCAUAGCUUCAGUUGGGUGGAAACCUUACUGUGUCUCCAGUAGAUUUUUCUUUACCAACCUACCUCCAGAAGCAGAAUCCAGAAGAAACUGGGGAGUCAAGAUUUUCAGUCUUGGUCCCCCCACCCCAGGUCUCAGGGUUCCAUUCUUUUUCUAUUCAGGCACUGACUUUGGCAUAGGAGGCCUGUUGAAGUUGUGAGUUGGGUCUCUUUUGUAGCUCUGCUAUCUUUGCAAUUACAUUCUAAACCUGGUUUUCUGCUGCUUCAGAAGAGAAGAGUCUAAACACUGCCAAGGAGAAGUUCAGACUUUCACAGCAUGUUUCAAUUUGAUAUUUGUUUAAACUGAGCUGUCAUUGCCUUAUUUUAAGCCUUCUAAAACUGUUAACAAAAGCCACUUUCACUCUGUAUACUGUAGGAGUACUGUUGUGCCCAUAAGUCAGUACUUUACCUUCCUCAUUCUUUACUCCCUGUAUGAAUCAAAAAUUGUGAUUUUACUGAAUUUUAGGAGUUGUCACCCUUGCCCAUGUCAUAACAAUGAGAUGAUUCUUGCCAAUUACGAGUAAAUUGUCCAGUUCCCAAGUUUCCUCUUGGGGGUCUACUUUUAAAGCCAGUUCUGGUACAGAUGAUCUCUGUCUGUGUUCUCUUCAGAGCCUGAGAUAAGGAUCAGAAUGCAGUAGUUUUUUUGAGAAAUCCAAGGGUUCCAGGAGUAGAGGAUAGGGAAAGGUGAAACAGGAAAGUCCAGGGAAGGGAGAAAAGUCAGUACCCCGUGUACUACUGUGGACAACUGGGACUUAAUCCCACUGAGACCUCAGUAAGCAGCUGUGGAAUAUCCCCUCAAAUGACUCUAUUUAUUGCUAAUUUUGUCCUACCCUACCUGAAGGAUAGGAGAGAGCUCCUGUUGAACAUACUGCUAGAUUAUACACGUGUAAGUGCUGGGUGAGUUCAUUUAGCAGUGUGUGCAGUGGUGUCAAGUCAUAGCGCAGAAAGUGAGAGAGCUUUGCUAUUAGGCUAUAACUCUAAAAGCUCCUUGACACAGUAAAAACGGGAGAAAAAAAAUGGGCUGAAAAGGUAGGAGGUGGGGCAUAAGAUGUAUGAAAUAUACAAAAGCUCUCCCUUUUUUCUGUUUUAUAGUAUAUUAUAUGGAUGAAGUAUUUUUGAUAUCUGACGUUACUAAUACAGCUAAUCUUUCAUUUUUAAAAAUUCUUCAUUAUGUCUGUUGAGAGUGUGUGUGUAUUAGCUUUAUUCUGCCAUUUUAUUAGCUCUCCCCAAAUGUUUGUUAAUCUUUAGUUGUCUGUUUAUAUUUAAGAAUGAGGCAAUGGAAUGACUCACUGGAUCUCUUUGUACCAGUGAAGGACUUGUUAACUGGAUUUUUUGUUUGUUUGUUUGUUUUAAGAUUGUCUAAGACUUUUUAUUUUUGGCUGACUUUGGCUUUCAUGCUAAGUGUAUGUAUGUAUGUAUGUAUGUACACACAUACACACUAGGCAUUCUGUAAAGGGACCUGUAAAUGUCAGAAUGAGAAAGGCUUUACUUAGAUGUGUAAUAUUGACUUCAGUUACUAUAUUUUACCCUGGACAAUUUAUUUCAUUUCUUUUAGAAGAGGAUCCAGAUUUUUUUGGUGUAGGGAGAAUAAGAAGGGUGUUAGGGUAGAUAGGUAGAUACAGUAGGUAGGGUAUAGGGACCACAGUUUAAGUAUCUAGCUUCUAGACAUUUUUUUUCCCCCGUACCAGGAUCCAAUCCAGGAUCAUAUGUUGUAUUUUGUUGUCAACCGCCUUAGUCUCUUUUAAUCUGAGAUAAUAUUUUGUCCUUAUAUUUUUUCUUAAUUUUAAUGCUUUUGAUUAAUUCUUGGCCAGUUAUUUGAUAGAAUGACCUUUAGUUUUGUUUGCUUCAUGUUUAUGAUUAAAUUCAGAUUGUGCAUUUUUGCACAAGAAUGCUGAAUAAGUGAUGUGUACUCUUUUCACUAUCAUUUUCAUGAGUCAUAUGAAGUUACUGUGUCUCAUUCACAGUGUUACUAACUCAGAUCACUUGAGAUGAUGUCUUUAGGUUUCUACACUAUAAAGUCAUGAUCUUCCUUUUGAAAUUAAGUAUUUUGUGAAGGGAUAGUUGGAGACUGUAAAUGUCCUAUUUGUCAUCAUGCCUUUGCCUUGUAAUUUUAGUAUCCAUUGAUGGAUAAUUCUUGCGUUAAACCAAUACUACUGUGGUGUCUGCCUGAUGGUGAUUUAUGUAUCCAUAAUUUCUUCUAUAAUUAUUAAUUGGAAUUCUGCCAUAAGGAGGAACUUCCCCUUCCUCUACUUACUUAUCUUUGUUUCUUUCAGUAUAGAUUUAUGAAUAUUCCAAGGUGCUGGCCGGUAACACCUAUAUUUUAAUCAGUUCACUGGAAUUCCUGGAGCCUUUAGUUCUAGGAGUCUCUAUCAAUCAAGAUUCAGUCAGGAAAACAGAAAAUUCACUAAUUCUCUCUAUACUGAUCUUGUUCAUUCUUCUAUUCAUUCGGUUCUAUUUUAUUUCAUAUACUCCAUUAUAUUUCAUUUAAUAAAUGAAUUUCUGAUUUUUAGAAUUUCAGAGUGGUUCUUUUAUACAUCCUUCUCAGCACUUCCGUUCUUAUAUGAACCACUCAUGUCUAAACACUUUUUUUCUCUGUCUGUAUCUUUAGGUGCAAAUCAUCCUGUUUUUUAUAGUUGGUUAUCUCCUUAUGUGGUUUUCAUGAGUUAAUCUUCUACAGGUAUUGGUUUCUGCAAACAUUCCACAUGUAUUAUGAAAACAUCCCUUCAAAAUGUUUUUUGCUUGCUUCUGCUGCAGCCUAGCAGAAUCACCAGUUUAGAGCCAGUGUAGAGCCUUUAGACUCUCCUGAUUACCUGUUGUAUGUACUUCUAAAGCUCUCUUGUUUCUAAUUGUUUUCCUGGCCUUUCCUAGGCCUCCCAUUCUAUUCUUCAUCACAGCAUUUUUGAUUGAGUCAGUGUAUUUGCUUCAAUUUUUGUUUCAUUCCAUUCCAGCUCUUGCAUCCCGCUUGUCCUCAUUGAGAUUGAUCAAUCAGACCUCCAAAGGUCAUCUUAUCUGACUUAGGACUUCUCAUUAAUUUUUACCAGUUUGUAUCAUUUUCAUUGACCUUAUCUUUGCCACUCUGAGCCACUGUCACCCAUGACCCCAGAAUUUUAGACGUUUUACAAAUAACAAAUUUAGGGGCGCCUGGGUGGCUCAGUGGGUUAAGCCGCUGCCUUCGGCUCAGGUCAUGAUCCCAGGGUCCUGGGAUCGAGUCCCGCAUCGGGCUCUUUGCUGAGCAGAGAGCCUGCUUUCUCUCUCUCUCUCUCUCUCUCUCUCUCUCUGCCUACUUGUGAUCUCUCUCUGUCAAAUAAAAAAAUAAAAUAAAAUAAAAAAACAAAUAACAAAUUUACCCUUUGUAGUUUUUCAUCACCAAAGAAGAGUCAGUAGAAAAACACCACAGUAGAAAAUGAGUGCAGUAUAUGCAAACAACAAACCUGAAUAGACAAAAAGCAUAACAAAAAGAUGGCCAGUGAGAUAAAGAAUUAGGGAUUUGCUUAUUGAAUCCAUGAAAUGCAUUUGCAUAUACUUUGAGUUGGUAAAACACAUACCUCCUAUAGAAAAGGCACCAAAUAACUGAUCACUCUAGUACGUUUUCAUGGCUGUUUGAACAGACUGGUGAUGGGUGCAGAGAGUGUUCCAUGUGGGUCCAACAGAAUGACUCCCUUUAACUACUAAUGUGCUAGCUACUACUGAUAAAAAGAGUCUAGUCUAUUGGUGUGUAUAUUCGUAUUAUACAUUUGGAGAUCAGUGAGACUACAGACUCAGUGGGCCUCUUUCAGCCUUGUCUUUGAGGCUGGACUUCCUCCACUCCCCAUUUCACAAACUUCAUUUUAAAAUUAUUCAUCUGAGUUUUACCAUGAUGCAGUGCUCAAAGGUACAAGAUCUUUGGGUUGCUAGCAAAUGAGAAAUUUUUAAUAUCGUCUGCUGUGCCAGUUUUCAGUUUAUUGUAUCUUGGUUUCAGAUUCAGCUUUGUCAUACUGAAUCUGAACGCUGCCAACAUUUCUUUGCUAACUGGCUAAAUGUCAUGCAUUAUCAGUAGAGGGCAUUGGGGUGACUGCAGAGUGUCAGCAGGACCCAUCCCUUUAAAGGCCUCACCUUUAUUUUUGUUCAGUAAUUUUUGUGACUUGUUGGAUUUUAAGAACAUAUAUUUAAAGAAGGUACUUAAAAAUUAGGCCUAAAGAUAUACUAAAAAAUAUGAGCAGAAAACUAGUAGUAUAUUUGUAUUAUUUAUCCUUUCAUAAACAUUGCAUUCUAUAUGAAAUAUGGAAUUAGAAUGCUUGGUUACACCAUUCCUGACAUAGAUGGACCCAACCUUGUGCAUUAUUAUUUUUUUUUUUCAGUAUCAUUUAUUUAUUUAUUUAUUUUCAGCAUAACAGUCUUCAUAUUUUUGCACCACAUCCAGUGCUCCAUGCAAUCCGUGCCCUCUCUAAUACCCACCACCUGGUACCCCGACCUCCCACCUCCCCCCCCCACCCCUGCCACUUCAAACCCCUCAGAUUGUUUUUCAGAGUCCAUAGUCUCUCAUGGUUCACCUCCCCUUCUAAUUUCCCCCAACUCCCUUCUCUCCAACUCCCCAUGUCCUCCAUGCUAUUUGUUAUGCUCCACAAAUAAGUGAAACCAUAUGAUAAUUGACUCUCUCUGCUUGACUUAUUUCACUCAGCAUAAUCUCUUCCAGUCCCGUCCAUGUUGCUACAAAAGUUGGGUAGUCAUCCUUUCUGAUGGGGGCAUAAUACUCCAUAGUGUAUAUGGACCACAUCUUCGUUAUUAUCAAAUUAAGUUCAUAAUCACUUGAUUUUUGUUUUUGAUCUCUGUGGUGUUUAAGUAAUUCUGAUUGUAAGCAAUAUAUUUGAAAUAAUACUAGCACAGAGAUUAUAAAGAUGAAAAAGUUCCAUCAGUUCUGUCAUUCUGUGUAACCACUUGAAGUUUUUGUGUUUAAAUUUCUUUGGACUUCUUAGACAUUUGGAAGAUGCUAGAAUCAACCCUGAGGAAAAAACACAUGGAUAGUAUUGUAAUUUUUGGAAUUUGUAAUGGGAUUUUUGUGACUUUGCUAAAUGUACGUUUCCUGGCUCUAAGUUUUAUAUCGCUGUCUGUGAAACUUUUCAGAAUUAAAAGGAAUGAGAAUUCUUGAUCGCCUAUGGCUGGACAUAGGUUUAUGUAUCUGGCUAUAUGGUCUAAGAAUUGCAAGGACCAAUUUUGGCAGUCAUUCAUUAUCUUAUUUGUAGAAGUUACUUCAUUAAGAAAACAAGUAGAUUGGAAUUCAGCUUGGGUAGUACACAUAGAGCUUCAUUAUGCCUCAGGCUAAUGUGUAUGUGUGACAUAGAGCUUCAUUAUGCCUCAGGCUAAUGUGUAUGUGUGACAUAGAGCUUCAUUAUGCCUCAGGCUAAUGUGUAUGUGUGACAUAGAGCUUCAUUAUGCCUCAGGCUAAUGUGUAUGUGUGAGGUUUGUCCUCCUUUACCCCUUCCACCACCUAUUUUUUUUUUAAAAAGAUAUUAGUGUAAUUAAAAGAACAUUAAUGCAUUAUUUUUUUCGUCUUUGUACUUUACUAUUUAGUUUUUAAUUUUUAGUGACAUGAUUAUAUAUUCUGGGUUUAAUAAAAGAAAAUAUUCAUUGUUUCCUUUUUGGAUAUUAUUAAUGUGAUUAAUUUCAUCAGUGACUAUUGCUAAAAUAAUUUUGUUGUGUAGAAGAAUGCUGUAAAAGUCUCCAUAUAAUCAAAAGUGCUAAGUAUGCCUCAUUUCCAUCUAACUGUUUAAAUAUUUCUCUUGUCAGUCAGAAGAACUGUUCUUAACUUGGUUUCUUUUUUAUUUUUAUGGUUUACCUUGUAAGUUGUAUUCUGACCCUAAAUGCCAAUAUUUAAAGGCAAGUGCUGGAGGCCUUUUUGCUAUUUCAAAUGCUUUCUUAUGCAUGGAAUUUAAAAAUUGUUGCACACAAUAUUUGGCUCUUUAUGCCAUCAGCAAUUUAUUUUUCUAUGCUGUAUGAGAAAAGAAUCAAUAAAAAGGUUAUCUAAGUUUC